rnacentral:rRNA from 1 species
GAUGAACGCUGGCGGCGUGCCUAAUACAUGCAAGUCGAACGCACAGCGAAAGGUGCUUGCACCUUUCAAGUGAGUGGCGAACGGGUGAGUAACACGUGGACAACCUGCCUCAAGGCUGGGGAUAACAUUUGGAAACAGAUGCUAAUACCGAAUAAAACUCAGUGUCGCAUGACACAAAGUUAAAAGGCGCUUUGGCGUCACCUAGAGAUGGAUCCGCGGUGCAUUAGUUAGUUGGUGGGGUAAAGGCCUACCAAGACAAUGAUGCAUAGCCGGGUUGAGAGACUGAUCGGCCACGUUGGGACUAAGACACGGCCCAAACUCCUACGGGAGGCUGCAGUAGGGAAUCUUCCACAAUGGGCGAAAGCCUGAUGGAGCAACGCCGCGUGUGUGAUGAAGGCUUUCGGGUCGUAAAGCACUGUUGUAUGGGAAGAACAGCUAGAAUAGGGAAUGAUUUUAGUUUGACGGUACCAUACCAGAAAGGGACGGCUAAAUACGUGCCAGCCGCCGCCGUAA